ACGAACGCUGGCGGCGUGCUUAACACAUGCAAGUCGAACGGAAAGGCCCUUUCGGGGGUACUCGAGUGGCGAACGGGUGAGUAACACGUGGGUGAUCUGCCCUGCACUCUGGGAUAAGCCUGGGAAACUGGGUCUAAUACCGGAUAGGACCAUGGGAUGCAUGUUCUGUGGUGGAAAGCUUUUGCGGUGUGGGAUGGGCCCGCGGCCUAUCAGCUUGUUGGUGGGGUGAUGGCCUACCAAGGCGACGACGGGUAGCCGGCCUGAGAGGGUGUCCGGCCACACUGGGACUGAGAUACGGCCCAGACUCCUACGGGAGGCAGCAGUGGGGAAUAUUGCACAAUGGGCGCAAGCCUGAUGCAGCGACGCCGCGUGGGGGAUGACGGCCUUCGGGUUGUAAACCUCUUUCAGUAUCGGUGAAGCUCCCGGAUUUUUCUGGGGGUGACGGUAGGUGCAGAAGAAGCACCGGCCAACUACG
rnacentral:rRNA from 1 species